rnacentral:rRNA from 1 species
AGAGGGGUUGCUCCUAGUACGAGAGGACCGGAGUGAACGCACCACUGGUGUACGGGUUGUGAUGCCAAUUGCAUUGCCCGGUAGCUAAGUGCGGAAGAGAUAACCGCUGAAAGCAUCUAAGCGGGAAACUUGCCUCGAGAUGAGUCUUCCCUGACCCUUUAAGGGUCCUGAAGGAACGUUUGAGACUAAGACGUUGAUAGGCUGGGUGUGUAAGCGCAGCGAUGCGUUGAGCUGACCAGUACUAAUGAACCGAGAGGCUUAACCUGACAACACCGAAGGUGUUUUG